rnacentral:rRNA from 1 species
CGUAGGGUGCAAGCGUUAAUCGGAAUUACUGGGCGUAAAGCGUGCGCAGGCGGUUUUGUAAGUCAGAUGUGAAAUCCCCGGGCUUAACCUGGGAACUGCGUUUGAAACUACAAGGCUAGAGUGUGGCAGAGGGGGGUGGAAUUCCACGUGUAGCAGUGAAAUGCGUAGAGAUGUGGAGGAACACCGAUGGCGAAGGCAGCCCCCUGGGUUAACACUGACGCUCAGGCACGAAAGCGUGGGGAGCAAACAGGAUUAGAUACCCUGGUAGUCCACGCCCUAAACGAUGUCAACUAGUUGUCGGGUCUUAACGGACUUGGUAACGCAGCUAACGCGUGAAGUUGACCGCCUGGGGAGUACGGUCGCAAGAUUA